GUCAUAGCUCAGUUGGCAGAGCAUGAGACGCUUCAUCUCAGGGUCAUGGGUUUGAGCCCCACAUUGUGCACCA